GUUUGAUUAUGGCUCAGGACGAACGCUGGCGGCACGCUUAACACAUGCAAGUCGAACGAGAGAAGAGAAGCUUGCUUUUCUGAUCUAGUGGCGGACGGGUGAGUAACACGUGAGCAAUCUGCCUUUCAGAGGGGGAUACCGAUUGGAAACGAUCGUUAAUACCGCAUAACAUAAUUGAACCGCAUGAUUUGAUUAUCAAAGAUUUAUCGCUGAAAGAUGAGCUCGCGUCUGAUUAGCUAGUUGGUAAGGUAACGGCUUACCAAGGCGACGAUCAGUAGCCGGACUGAGAGGUUGAUCGGCCACAUUGGGACUGAGACACGGCCCAGACUCCUACGGGAGGCAGCAGUGGGGAAUAUUGCACAAUGGAGGAAACUCUGAUGCAGCGAUGCCGCGUGAGGGAAGAAGGUUUUAGGAUUGUAAACCUCUGUCUUCAGGGACGAAAAAUGACGGUACCUGAGGAGGAAGCUCCGGCUAACUACGUGCCAGCAGCCGCGGUAAUACGUAGGGAGCGAGCGUUGUCCGGAAUUACUGGGUGUAAAGGGAGCGUAGGCGGGAUCGCAAGUCAGAUGUGAAAACUAUGGGCUUAACCCAUAAACUGCAUUUGAAACUGUGGUUCUUGAGUGAAGUAGAGGUAAGCGGAAUUCCUAGUGUAGCGGUGAAAUGCGUAGAUAUUAGGAGGAACAUCAGUGGCGAAGGCGGCUUACUGGGCUUUAACUGACGCUGAGGCUCGAAAGCGUGGGGAGCAAACAGGAUUAGAUACCCUGGUAGUCCACGCCGUAAACGAUGAUUACUAGGUGUGGGGGGACUGACCCCUUCCGUGCCGCAGCAAACGCAAUAAGUAAUCCACCUGGGGAGUACGACCGCAAGGUUGAAACUCAAAGGAAUUGACGGGGGCCCGCACAAGCAGUGGAGUAUGUGGAUUAAUUCGAAGCAACGCGAAGAACCUUACCAGGUCUUGACAUCGUAUGCAUAGCUCAGAGAUGAGUGAAAUCUCUUCGGAGACAUAUAGACAGGUGGUGCAUGGUUGUCGUCAGCUCGUGUCGUGAGAUGUUGGGUUAAGUCCCGCAACGAGCGCAACCCUUACUGUUAGUUGCUACGCAAGAGCACUCUAGCAGGACUGCCGUUGACAAAACGGAGGAAGGUGGGGAUGACGUCAAAUCAUCAUGCCCCUUAUGACCUGGGCCUCACACGUACUACAAUGGCUGUCAACAGAGGGAAGCAAAGCCGCGAGGUGGAGCAAACCCCUAAAAGCAGUCUUAGUUCGGAUUGUAGGCUGCAACCCGCCUACAUGAAGUCGGAAUUGCUAGUAAUCGCAGAUCAGCAUGCUGCGGUGAAUACGUUCCCGGGCCUUGUACACACCGCCCGUCACGCCAUGGGAGUCGGUAACACCCGAAGCCUGUAGUCUAACCGCAAGGAGGACGCAGUCGAAGGUGGGAUUGAUGACUGGGGUGNNNUCGUAACAAGGUAACC
rnacentral:rRNA from 1 species